UACGUAGGGCGCAAGCGUUGUCCGGAAUUAUUGGGCGUAAAGAGCUCGUAGGCGGUUUGUCGCGUCUGCUGUGAAAACCUAAGGCUCAACCUUGGGCUUGCAGUGGGUACGGGCAGACUAGAGUGCGGUAGGGGAGACUGGAAUUCCUGGUGUAGCGGUGAAAUGCGCAGAUAUCAGGAGGAACACCGGUGGCGAAGGUGGGUCUCUGGGCCGUUACUGACGCUGAGGAGCGAAAGCGUGGGGAGCGAACAGG
rnacentral:rRNA from 1 species